rnacentral:misc_RNA from 1 species
GAUGAAGAACGUAGCGAAAUGCGAUACUUGGUGUGAAUUGCAGAAUCCCGUGAACCAUCGAGUCUUUGAACGCAAGUUGCGCCCGAAGCCAUUAGGCCGAGGGCACGCCUGCCUGGGCGUCACACGUCGUUGCCCCCCCCAUCUACUCCUUCGGAAUUGCGGGGGGCGGAUGAUGGCCUCCCGUGCGCCUCGCCGCGCGGUUGGCAUAAAUGCCAAGUCCUCGGCGACGCACGCCACGACAAUCGGUGGUUGCGAAACCUCGGUUGCCCGUCGUGUGCGGUCGUCGCGCAUCGAGGGCUCGAAAAAAUUGCCGAGUUCCGGCUCGGCUUUCAACGCGACCCCAGGUCAGGCGGGGUUACCCGCUGAAUUUAAGCAUAUCAAUAAGCGGAGGA